rnacentral:lncRNA from 1 species
GGGAGCGCGGCCCCCGAGUGGGCGAGGCGCUGGCGGCUGUAGGCUCCGAUACCGCGGAGCACACUCCCCUCCAUCGAGACCGUGCCCCCGCGGGGUCUGUGUCCCCGGGAGGAGUUGGCUGCGUUUGGAGAUCCCUCGGCCUGGUAUUCGUCGCGUCUCCCUGCUUGUUGCUCUCCACGUUUAGCCCCAUCCGACUUCUGGAAGCCCAGGGGUGUGUCGCUCGACCCCUAAAAUAUGCUCCUACCCCUAGGGCAAACUUCAGAAUCCUCACCCUGGCCCCCUUCCCAGUUCUUGGUUCCCAGGCAGGUCCCUUUGCAAAGCCUCUCUCCAGCAAGAAUGCGCAGAAUGGGCCUCUUUCUCCUCUUGACUCCUGCCCUCCAGCACUUUGCAGCUUUCUUCUAUUUUAGCCUCUCUCUCUCUCUCUCACACACACACACACACACACACACACACACACACACACACACGGUAUAUUCAAUGAGUUUGCUUAUUAGAUGGGUACUUGAUGUACAAGACUCCAGAGGCUCUGUGGGAAGAGCCACAUUCCUUCCAGGCUCACUAACCCACUCCCUCUUUGUGCUCCAGCCCUCACUGUCUUGGUCUGUGGCAUGCAGUUCCUGGGUCACAUUUCCUUCUCUGCCUUCAGCACAGCCUCGGGCUGUGCCUGGCUCCCAGGCUGGAGUUCCUUGGUUCCAAAGCCUGCAGUCCCCUCUGCCAGAGACAGAGCUGGUUUCAUGGGUGAACAGCCCAUGCAGUCACAACGGGCCGCAUGCUCAGAAUCCUGUACUUGGUUUAGUACUUUGCUGUUGCCGUCUUGAAAUGAUUUUCUAAUAGGGGUUCUUGUGUUUUCAUUUUGCACGGGGCUGUGCAAAUUAUGUGACUGGUCCUGGCUAGAGACCUCAGAGGUCGUCCACCCUGAUCUCCACCAUAUCUCAAACGCUGAAGAUUGACUUCCAGGUCUGGCCCUCUUCCCAGGAUGGCACAUUGUGUUUUAAUCAUUACCUUUCCCUCCUGUGCGAUGGCGGAUCAUGCAAGUCCACGCUGGCUGUCUGUCCUGGGUGUAGAUGCUGAUUUGGUGUCCCACUCAGAUCCCCUUGCAGGAAGAACGGAGCUCCCUACCUGGGAAUUUCCUUCACCUCCCAAGCCAAUGACUGAUAAAAGGUCCAAAAGGCCAGUUCAGCUCUGCAGUGUGGUUUAUGCCCCACAGCUCUUCCACUGUGGGUCAGGCCAAGGCUGGGCUGAGACUGUUCCUGCUCAGCAUUUUUCCUUUCCCUCUUCUGCUUCCUUCCUUCUUUUACUGGUUUUUCUGGAAGUACACUCCCCCCCAGCCCCACCAAACAAACAAAACAAACAAACAAAAAAACACUUCAUGCCUGUCUCAGGCUCUGCUUUUAAGACAAUGAUUUUAACUCCCAGAUCUCUCUCAACAGAGAGCACCAGAUUCUCAAAACAGUAAGUCCUACCACUUGUUCUAUCGUAAAACUUAUUUUGGGCAAGUCACUCAAGCCUUCGAUAGGUAAGAUAGUACCUGAAAGCAUUCCAGCUCAACUCUGCCCCAAGAGGGAGCCACCCCAUGGAAGGACGGAGCUGAGCAACAUGCCACUCAAAGGAAAAGCACUUAGAACCACUCU